rnacentral:tRNA from 1 species
AAUUUUGAUGGCUGAGUAAAGCACUAGACUGUAAAUCUAUUUACGGGUACCACCCUCAGGCUUA